rnacentral:misc_RNA from 1 species
GAUGAAGAACGUAGCGAAAUGCGAUAAGUAAUGUGAAUUGCAGAAUUCAGUGAAUCAUCGAAUCUUUGAACGCACAUUGCGCCCGCCAGUAUUCUGGCGGGCAUGCCUAUUCGAGCGUCAUUUCAACCAUCAAGCCCCCGGCUUGUGUUGGGGACCUGCGGCUGCCGCAGGCCCUGAAAAGCAGUGGCGGGCUCGCUGUCACACCGAGCGUAGUAGCAUACAUCUCGCUCUGGGCGUGCUGCGGGUUCCGGCCGUUAAACCACCUUCAUAACCCAAGGUUGACCUCGGAUCAGGUAGGAAGACCCGCUGAACUUAAGCAUAUCAAUAAGCGGAGGA